UAGGGAAUCUUCGGCAAUGGACGAAAGUCUGACCGAGCAACGCCGCGUGAGUGAAGAAGGGUUUCGGAUCGUAAAACUCUGUUGUUAGAGAAGAACAAGGACGUUAGUAACUGAACGUCCCCUGACGGUAUCUAACCAGAAAGCCACGGCUAACUACGUGCCAGCAGCCGCGGUAAUACGUAGGUGGCAAGCGUUGUCCGGAUUUAUUGGGCGUAAAGCGAGCGCAGGCGGUUUCUUAAGUCUGAUGUGAAAGCCCACGGCUCAACCGGGGAGGGUCAUUGGAAACUGGGGGACUUGAGUGCAGAAGAGGAGAGUGGAAUUCCAUGUGUAGCGGUGAAAUGCGUAGAUAUAUGGAGGAACACCAGUGGCGAAGGCGGCUCUCUGGUCUGUAACUGACGCUGAGGCUCGAAAGCGUGGGGAGCAAACAGG
rnacentral:rRNA from 1 species